UACGGAGGGUGCAAACGUUGUCCGGAAUCACUGGGCGUAAAGCGCGUGUAGGUGGCCAUAUAAGUCUAAUAUCAAAGACCGACGCUUAACGUCGGGCCGGUACUGGAUACUGUGUGGCUAGAGGGUAGCAGGGGUAAGCGGAACUUUAGGUGUAGGAGUGAAAUCCGUAGAUAUCUAAAGGAACACCAAUGGCGAAGGCAGCUUACUGGGCUAUUUCUGACACUGAGAUGCGAAAGCGUGGGGAGCGAACGGG
rnacentral:rRNA from 1 species